AGGGACAUAUGAUCUAUGAAGUUCUGUGCCAUUUGCUGUGGAAAUUAAGGGCUGCAGUCCCAGGAUAAUUAAUACUCAGAAUCAAUUACCAGGAAUUUCAGGCUCUCAUCACUUUACUACUUUGGGAUGAUAGUUUGCAUUUGGACAUUAAGGAGGCUACAUAUCUUUGUUUCUGUGGAGGUAGGGGAAGAACAUGUUUUCUUGAACAACUGCCCAAGUACUCUGCUCCUCCAUUUGUUUUCGAUGAGGAAAUUGGAUUGUUUUCAACUGAAAGCUAUCUACCAAUUCAUCCAUCUAGAACAGAAUCUGAAGAAGAAGAAAAGUAAUAACCCUGUGGAUGCCCAAGUUCAUAGAAUGAGCUUGUGAAUAUAACCUAGCUCAUAGUGUGAGUGAUGAUGGACCAAGAUAACAAGACCAGGGACUCCUGCCCAGCCCCUGGUAAAGCAGCAAUCUCCACGAAGUUCUAAAGUACACUGAACUUCUUUGUGAAGAGCUGAAUUUGAAACUGUAAGUAUUUAAAAGUCUAACUUUUUUGAGUUUCUAAAGAAAAUGGUAAGAAUUCCUUCUUAAAAGACACAGAUCCAGUGUUACAGCUCUUUUAGAAUUUGUCUAGCAGGUUUUCUGACUUCCGUCGGAAAACCCCUAAAAAAAGAAAAAAAAAGACACAGAUCCUAUAUUUUUUUUUUCUGUAAUGAAGCCAGGUAAAGAUGUAGGAUUUUCAGCCUAUGUUGUUUAAUCCUUAAUAGUCAACCUUGCAAUUUACCAAUAAA